UACGGAGGGUGCAAGCGUUAAUCGGAAUUACUGGGCGUAAAGCGCACGCAGGCGGUCUGUCAAGUCGGAUGUGAAAUCCCCGGGCUCAACCUGGGAACUGCAUUCGAAACUGACAGGCUAGAGUCUUGUAGAGGGGGGUAGAAUUCCAGGUGUAGCGGUGAAAUGCGUAGAGAUCUGGAGGAAUACCGGUGGCGAAGGCGGCCCCCUGGACAAAGACUGACGCUCAGGUGCGAAAGCGUGGGGAGCAAACAGG
rnacentral:rRNA from 1 species